rnacentral:lncRNA from 1 species
AGUGGUUUCUAUUCGCAGGUGUAUGUUCUAAGGGUCGGAAAUGUGGGCUAUUUAUAGGUUUUUGGGCGAGCUAGUUAGGUGAGGCGCUGGGGACACAUGUCGUGGCCGUUGCCACUAAGCUAUGCUCAAUGGGCGACACCCGAACCUGACACAUCGUGGAGGCGACACCCGGCCGUGAGUCACCGCCCAGCUGUCGGUAGAACGUCCUCAGCCACACAUUAAGUCGGCCCGCUUAAGCACCUCCGUGGCCGGUCAAGGACCACUUGAUCUUCGCGGGCGGACAUGGCCGAUUUUCAACCACAGCAAAUCGGAGCAUCUUACCCACCUGCUCGCCGCCAUAAGCUGGUCGAUGACGUGGCCGACUCUUGGCCGCACCUCUACUGCACACGCCGACCAUGGUUGAACACACGUAUGCCUCGGCCGAAUUCACGCCGCCACAGGUUGCCCACACU